AAGAGGGUAGAGGAUAAGGACAUGG
rnacentral:piRNA from 1 species